GGCGUUUUAAACCAGCAUUUCAGCUUCACUGGCUGGUCGGAUUCUUGCGGAUUUAAACGGAGAAUUCUUAAUAGCAGUGUUGUACCCUUGUUGAUGCUUUGCGAUAUGACUUAAAUCAUAUGCGUGAACGUUGGCGUUCUUUUGUGUUGUCGGACCGACAGACUUGCGUCGCCUGAGACGCGGUCUGUACAGUCAACCCUUGUACUUAUGUCUAAUGUUGUGUCGAAACGUUCCGUCUUGUGUCGUACAUAGACGCAGCCGGUAUAUACGCUUCGUUGUUCUGGUGUUAUUGUCUGUUCUUUGUAUUCUUAGCUGUCACCGAUAUUUGUUAGGGAAAUUUCAUUUAGCUAUAAGCCGUCUUCCGUUAUAUCGCUUGGACGUACAGCCCGCUGUCUGGUAUAGCUCGCUGUGCCGCCAAGAAAUAUAGACGAUGCGACGUAAUGUAGUAAUUUACCUAAAAAAAAAGGGGCUAUUCUUAUCUGGUUUAGUGCGUGGGUUCGAUUUGGAUGGUUUUUUUUGUUAUCGAUUAUAGAUUUCGAGUUGUAGCUGUUAUAUUACCCAUAUUUCCUGUAGUUUGGAGCUGGGGACCAGCUCAAAAUUUUGCCUGCGUCAAAAUUUUCUCUGGGGAGGGGAGUACUGUAACAAUAUUUUUUCAAACCUCGUAGGUAUAUUUUUAUUUAGCUGAUAUUAUACUCAAGUAACUAUUGGUUUCGUACAGGCAGAGCCAUCUAUCGGCAGGAUUGUAUUGAUAACCCAGUUUGCUGUUAGCUAGAAUGACAAAAGAUGGCGUGUCGAUCGUCGUUAAUUUAUUUCCUUCCAAAAUCCCUUUUGAAUUUUCAUUUAUUAAAAAUAAAACUCAAUUUAUUAUUGUAUUGUUAGUUUUCGUUCCUUUUUGGAAAUAUUUUAUUACCCUCUUUAAGACAGAAGUUAAAGUUGUUGUCUAUAGGCGAAUGCAUCUCGUCACGUAUCUGUGGGCCGAGCUGUCAGCCGACACUUUGCAUAUUGGAAAGGAUGUAGACGGGUGGUUUUCAAAUUCUUCAGGGCCAAUGCGCCACAUUCUAAUUUUUAAAUCGCGAAUUAAUCGCAUAAUCAUGAUUUUAAUUUUAUAAAAUUACUGAGGACCCCUUCCAUUGACAUGAUUGCACGGAACCACAAGCCGGCUUCUUUUCUGGAAUGGGUCCUCAGAUUUGGAGGUUAACGUUCGAAGACAGAGCAGAGCUGAUGCUUCCCGAGCCUGGACCGGUGGACAGGAGGCUGUG